GUCACUUGUGAGGAGAGACCUGUGCUCUUCCGAUCUCUGUGUUCUGACCAUGUCACCAGGAAGUUGCAACAGAGACGAAAAUAUUAUUUAGGCCAUUCCAGAAUUCUUGAGUAGAGUUUUUUCCCUUUUCUCCACAGACUUGCACUCUGCAGGGUUGCUGUUUGUUUUAUUAUUACAGGUUUAGUGUUCAAAGACAAUGUAACUUAGGAAAGAAUAGGGACCAUAAUAUUUUAUCACAUGGACAAAUAUACCUUAUAAAGGAAACUUAAUCAUGCAGACCUAGCACUUACCAGAGUUAUAUGAACAAAAAGGACUCAUGUAAAACUAUGUAUUUCUUGUUGAAAGAAUCUGGAACUAAGUCUGAAGCAAAUAACAUUCUGGUCCAUACAGGUAAUGAUGAGAGAUUUAUUACUGAAAUCAAUGAGAAGUAAAUGAAAUAUGUCAAUAAAUGUUUUAAUUAAAUAUACUAAAAAAAUCAGGUCAAAAUUAACUAGCUUUUUUUUAACACCUGCAUGAAGUGCAUCUAAAAAAAAAAAAAAAAAGCCCACUUCUGUUGUUUCAAACUGAAAUCUGUUCUGGGAUAAGCACAAAAACUGAGACCAGGGUAUAACCUUAGGGGUCUGAUCUGUGACCUUCUGCCUAAGUUCUUUUAGAUACACGGCAGGCUUAAUUUUGAAGUUGUGAAGUGUUGAGGAUAAUCAAUUCCCUCCCUCCCCCACCCCCCCAAUUUCUUAAAUUUUGUAUGAUUUUGCAUUUCUUUUUACAUUUUAUAAACAUUUGAUUUUUUUUUUCCAUUCAGUGAAAAAUCAGUUUGUUAUAGCUGUUGUUCAUCUAUUUUUAAGAGAAGAGGCUUCACUUGCUGAGGUCAUAUACUAAUUUUUGUACUGUAGUCAGCCCAACAAACAUCUCACUGUAAAUAUGGUUUUAUAUACAUUUCCAAAUAAAGGCUAUAACUAGUGCAAGCUGGUAGGUCACAUUUAGUAAAAGGUUUCUUGUGAAGAAAAUAUCAGAAUAAAUCCAAACAAACCAGGGAAUAAAAUGUAGGCUAAUGCAGAAGUCAUAUUAAGUAUGCUUGGCAAAUUGCGGUAUACAUGGCAGCAACUGCAUGUUAUUCGGAGCUGCUAAAACGGACAGUGAAACAAGCCUGUUGUACAGGUGCUAGAUUUUGAUUUAAUAAAUAGUCUAUACAGUAUCAAACUAUAUAAAAAGUCUAAAAAAACACAAUGAGAAUUAUUGUAUUUGAAAAAACUGUUCUAUAUUGUAAAAAUGUUAAAAUUAGGUCCAAACCACCAUUAAAAAAGGUAUGAAAUGUGCAAUUUUUCAAGUGGCAACAAGGGGCAUGAGAAAGGUUCCAUAAAGGUUAACAAGAGUUGUUUGAUUUCUCCUUGUUUCCCUGGUGAUCACACAUGUCAGAGCAAUCCUUUUCAGGCAAGUAGGACACGAGCUAAAAGUAUCAUCACUGAUUUCAGUAGGGAAGAUUGGCUGCAUAAGGACUAAAAGGCUAUUUUGAGAGAAAUGUACAGUACAGUCUAUUCAUGUAAAUACUUGGAAAACACAGGAACAGAAUUAUUUUCUAACUACAGAGCGGUGAAAUCAGUGUAGCCACAUGGAUUUAUAAUACAUGGCAGAAUCUUUUAGAAUCCUAAGCCUUCUUGAAAGCAAACAGUUUGAAGUCUGCAUCUAGAAUAACAUGGGCGCUUGUGUUUAACCGCAAGCUGCGAGGGUCACAUUCCCAAAUGUACUAAAAUUAAUAAACCUCAAUAUCUUUUAAAAAGGCAGUAACCCCUUACACUUAUUUCUCACAAAGC